AACGUAGGAGGCAAGCGUUAUCCGGAGUUACUGGGCGUAAAGCGCGUGUAGGUGGAUCGGUAAGUUACUUAUAAAAGCUCCUGGCUAAACUAGGAGAGGUUGAGUGAUACUGCCAGUCUUGAAUAGAGGAGAGGUUGGCGGAAUUCCGCGUGUAGUGGUGAAAUGCGUAGAGAUGCGGAAGAACACCAGUGGCGAAGGCGGUCAACUGGCCUCAUAUUGACACUCAGACGCGAAGGCAUGGGUAGCGAACGGG
rnacentral:rRNA from 1 species